rnacentral:rRNA from 1 species
UACGUAGGGACCAAGCGUUGUUCGGAUUUACUGGGCGUAAAGGGCGCGUAGGCGGCGUGGUAAGUCACUUGUGAAAUCUCUGAGCUUAACUCAGAACGGCCAAGUGAUACUGCUGUGCUAGAGUGCAGAAGGGGCAAUCGGAAUUCUUGGUGUAGCGGUGAAAUGCGUAGAUAUCAAGAGGAACACCUGCGGCGAAGGCGGGUAGCUGGGCCGACACUGACGCUGAGGCGCGAAAGCCAGGGGAGCGAACGGG